rnacentral:lncRNA from 1 species
UUGCGGAAGAAGAGUAAGCAUUUUAUUUAAUGAACUAACUGGAUAGCCUGAGUAACUACAUUAACGAUUAUCUGUCCUGAGCAUUGGCUUCUAUGUUGCUGAUUUUCCAAUAGCCAUCACCAUCUUUUGUUUUACCUUCUGAAAAACUAAAAACAGUUCUCAAUCACAUAUGAUAUCACGAAGCAAUUUGCUCUCUCAUCUCCAGAAAAAGUGUUGUGCGGAGGUUUGCAGUGAAAGUACAAACAUAAGCAUGAUCAAAAUUCCGGCAAGUCCCCAUGAGGAAUUCCCGAUUCUGAGCAACGUCAACUCGUCCGGAGAUGGAGAGACUGAUGCUCUACUUCCUCUCUUCACUGAAUUAGAUGAAGUCGUUUUAAUGGCUACAAUCAAUCCAGCAAGCACCACAGGUAGGACAAAGCCAGAGCUCCACCUCGUCUUAUAAUAGCUUUCAUUUUUCCAGUUGAAGUAUAAUGGCGAAAGCACCAGUGCAGACACCAUUGCUAGAACCAUGGCUAAUCCUCUUGGAGAUGAAUUUUGACAUGACGAAUAAGCAGAAGUAGCCAUUGAGGAACUAGAGAAAAGAAAGUAUGAAAGUUGGUUUCUUGUUAGUGUCUGAAAGCCAACUUGAUUCUGAUAUGAGAGCCUAAGAGUGGGAUUUAAAGAAAAUCUGGCAAAGAAGUCAAAAGGUGGAAAGAUCGAAAAAGUCUCGCCGUCCAAAAAGCAAAAAGUGAAGAGAUAAAAAGAAUAAAAGAUGAUGGAAUUUAGCUGUCAAUUGAUCAAUCCGAGUAAGAUGUAUAUUCCGCGUUAAAAGCAUUCCCGACUAAGGAAACGGAAUGAAUAUUAUCUAAGUUUCAUCAACAGUAAAAACAGAAUCUGCAGUAGACAUAUUACUGAAUCAUAAUUGAUAAUUAUUUUGAUGUCCUUCAAGUGAAAGGAAAAUAAAAAUGAGUUCAAUGUUCUUGUAUUGAAACAAUAUCACUACAUACUUCAAUUUUCCAGAAAGGAAGUUCACGUUCUUGUAAAGUUUGACUUACAUAAACUCCAUUGGCUGUGCAUAAUUUUUCCUUCGAUUUACCCCUGAUACUUGUUGCAAGCAAGACCAGCAAUAUCUGGAAAAUUAUGAAAAUCAUCGGAUCAUCAGGAAAUGUAGGGAAGUUAAGUACGAUGAUUCAUCUAUUCAUCCUAAGAUGUUUUUAGAAUCGUGUCAUCGGACGGAGUUGGGUAGGGAGGCAGGGAGCGGAGCAUUUGAUAAUUUAUGAAUAGGGCUUUGAUCUCUGUGGGAAGAAACA